CGGGGUGGGUGGAUCACUAGGCCAGGAGAUCGAGACCAUCCUGGCUAACACAGUGAAACCCUGUCUCUACUAAAAAUAGAAAAAAUUAGUCGGGCAUGGUGGCGGGCACCUGUAGUCCCAGCUACUCGGGAGGCUGAGGCAGGAGAAUGGCGUGAACCCGGGAGGUGGAGGCUGCAGUGAGCCAAGAUCGCGCCACUGCACUCCAGCCUGGGUGACAGAGCAAGAC
rnacentral:lncRNA from 1 species